rnacentral:rRNA from 1 species
GAUGAACGCUAGCGGCAGGCCUAACACAUGCAAGUCGAGGGGCAGCGGGGGUAGCAAUACCCGCCGGCGACCGGCGCACGGGUGCGUAACGCGUAUGCAACCUGCCCACUCCCGGGGGAUAGCCCGCCGAAAGGCGGAUUAAUACCUCAUGGACCCUUAGCCCCGCAUGGGGCGGAGGGUAAAGCUCCGGCGGGAGUGGAUGGGCAUGCGUGCCAUUAGCUGGCUGGCGGGGUAACGGCCCACCAGGGCUACGAUGGCUAGGGGGUCUGAGAGGGUGAUCCCCCACACUGGGACUGAGACACGGACCAGACUCCUACGGGGGGCAGCGGUGAGAAAUAUUGGUCAAUGGGCGGAAGCCUGAACCAGCCAUGCCGGGUGCAGGACGACGGCCCUACGGGUUGUAAACUGCUUUUCCGGGGGAAGAAUAAGGCCCAUGCGUGGGCCGAUGCCGGUACCCCGGGAAUAAGGAUCGGCUAACUCCGUGCCAGCCGCCGCCGUAAGAC